GGAGUCGUUUAAAAGGGGUUUCUUACUACUUUUUCCUAUUUUUUCUUUUAAAAUUCAUUUUUUGGUGACUUGGUACAACUUAACUCAUUACCAAGUGGCGACUCCAAUUUUUAUUUCAAAAACCUUUUUUAAACUAUAAUUUUGGGUCAAAUCAUCGCAUUCUCAACCCCCCAUUUAGACCCAUUUUUUCCUUUUAAAUCACAAUUUAUUUUCCAAUCACAAAAAAUACAUUUUUAAAACCAUUUAUUUUAUUUAUCAAAAAAUGGGGCGCGACAUUUUUCCCUAUUAUAGUGAUCUGUGUAAGGACCCUUCUUAGGAUCUACUCUUUGGUUUUGGUUAUAAUCAUAAGGAUGUAAUGGUAUGGAUAGUUACUUUUGGGGAUGUAAAUAAUACUCUUUUGCCGUGUGAAUAGCUUUUAUUUGCUUUUGCCUUCGAGUCCUGGCGCGAGUUGGGCAGGCAGUCCGCCGAACCCUUUGGUUCACCU
rnacentral:lncRNA from 1 species